UGCUUUUUUGAAAGUUAAGUC
rnacentral:piRNA from 1 species